AACGAACGCUGGCGGCGUGCCUAACACACGCAAGUCGAACGGAAUUAGAGAGCUUGCUCUUUGAUUUAGUGGCGCACGGGUGAGUAACGCGUAGAUAAUCUGCCUGACGAUCUGGGAUAACACUUCGAAAGAGGUGCUAAUACCGGAUAAGCCCACGGGUUCUUUGGAAUCUGCGGGAAAAGGGGGGGACCUUCGGGCCUUCUGUCGUCAGAGGAGUCUGCGUACCAUUAGCUAGUUGGUAGGGUAAAGGCCUACCAAGGCGACGCGGGUUAGCUGGACUUGUAGGAGGAUCAGCCACACUGGAACUGAGACACGGUCCAGACUCCUACGGGAGGUAGCAGUGGGGAAUUUUGCGCAAGGGGCGAAAGCCUGACGCAGCAACGCCGCGGGAGUGACGAAGGCUUUCGGGUCGUAAAGCUCUGUCAAUGGGAAAGAAGUGUAUUUUGGCUAAUAUCCUUAAUACUUGACGGUACCCAUAAAGGAAGCACCGGCUAACUCCGUGCCAGCCGCCGCCGUAA
rnacentral:rRNA from 1 species